UUUGUAGUUAUCUUGAGAAUAAUAUAUUUUACACAUUUGGAGUUCCAGAAGUCAUCUUAACAGAUAACGGGUCACAAUUUAAGUCUAGUUUAUUCGAAGCAUUCCUAACCAAGUUUGGUAUAACACAUCGUUGUACAGCCAUCUAUUCGCCUCAGGCUAACGCAAGCGAGCGAUUGAAUCGGUCAGUUUUAGCAGCCAUUCGUGCUUAUAUUGGCAAUGAUCAUACUAAUUGGGAUGCAAAUCUAAGUGCCAUUAGCGGAGCGCUAAGAGCAACCAUGCAUCGAAGCACUGGUUACUCACCAUAUUUCUUAGCUUUCGGUCAAAAUAUGAUCUUAAAUGGAAAAGAUUAUACUUUGCUUCGUAAUUUGGAUCUUUUAUGUGAUGACGUUGCAAUCCAGUCACCUGAUGCUUUACAAUUGGCUCGACAAGACGCGAAAAAUAAAAUAAGUCAAGUUCAUGAAGAGAAUGCCAAUAGGUACAACUUAAGAAGCAGAAAUGUUCAACUAAAUACUGGUGACGUAGUUUUUGCCAGGAAUUUCACUCAAAGUAAUGCUGGAAAAAGAUUUAGUUCAAAGUUGGCACCUUUAUUUAUUCAGGCAAAAGUAAUCCAGAAACGUAGUUCUUAUUAUUAUGAGUUAGCAGAUCUAAAUGGGAAAAAACUUGGUACAUUUCAUUUAAAAGAUAUAAGAAUUAAGAAAUCACAAUAGUAAGGCGAUAUCGAUAAUGUCUCUUCGGGUAUACCCUGUGCCAUUAUCUGGGGUGGGGGUGUGUAGUGAGCGAAAAAUAUAUUGUAAUAAAAGAAGUUCCAAAUUUCCCAACUUUUUUUUGCUGUUCUAAAUAUUGACGCACCCUAACUUAGUCAUCUCACUAUCUGCACUUGCUUAUCACUGUCUUCGCAAAGCUCUUGCAAAAGCUCGGCUUACCAUGCGGUGCAGUGGAGUACAGUCGAAAGUGAAGCGAGCUUAGCAUUAGAGAAAAAGCAAUUAGUCAAAGCAGACGUAUUUAUUGUCUGUCGGCCACCGAAUUUUAUAAUCCCACGUGAAUCUGCGAAUUAUAUAAUCUGGCAGUGGCAAAAUACCAGAUCGACCCCAAGUGAGAAUAUAUGUGAGGAUAGACGUCUAUAUAUAAAUAAAUAUAUAAACAGUGCAGUGAUAAAUUUCAUAAUUAAUACAGGCAUAGAAUCCCCAGAAAUUCGGCUCAUCGAGCUCGGCACUGGCGGAUGGUAGCCUCUGUGGGCCACUAAUGGUCCAUUCAACCUCUAUUACAACUAUAGAGCGCCGUGUGGCCCUAGUGAACAACUAUAUAUUGGGUGCACAAAUUUGGUCGGAGAUCACAACCAGAUUGGCUGCCCAACGGAGUACCAAAAGACUGUGAUUCUGACCGUCCCCGACAUACACCCGAGAUCACGGCCAAGUUUGAUUUGAAUAUUAGCGGAGCACAUACAGGCACAUACGCCUGAAAACCAAGAAUACACUGGAUGAGUAGUGCAUAGUACAACAACAGUACCACAAUCCACAAUGCAACAACAAUAAGUUCAGUUAUAUUGUAUCAAUCUUUCUGCAUGCUGCUAUGAUUUGCUGAGAGUGACACGAAUUACAUCGUCUGUGUCUUCUAGAUAUUUUGUAUUAAAUUAGUAACAUAAAAUUAAUAAUUCUAAUGGAAAAUUGUUGAGGCAUACUCGUGGAUGCAACAAAAAUGAAUUAAUUCUAAUUUUUGGUACAUUUAUAUUAAUUAUCUGUAUAUUUUCUCAUAUAGUAUUAUAUCAUUAUCAACACAACAUUAUCAUCGUCACUCAUCUUCGUCAUGGUACCACGACAGUAAGAAAACGACAUCUGAGUAAGUUAACUUAAACAAGUAGAUGUUACAAAAGGUAACUUUAAUGACACAAAUGAUUAUAUAAAUGUGCCUAAUUGUUAAUCAAAUGAAAUUAUCACGAGUACGUCUCAGACUUGAAUUAAUUUUGUAAAUAUUAGUAAUCAUAUCACAUAUGUAUGUAACAAACGGAGUAUCAUGAAUUCUUUAUUAAUUAAAAUUUCACAUGAAGUGAUUAAUGAAAUAA